UCGGUCUUGCCCAGGCACUCAAGCGUUUUGCAUCUCUGUUGUGCUAUGACUAUUGCCACAGACCCAGAGAGCCUGCACAAUUGCAUGCAUCUGUGUUUGAGAGGUAUAGGGACCAAGGAAUUGAUCCAUAUUUUUACCACAGGGUUAAAAAUUGACAAGGGCAUGACAAAACAUCAUGUUCUUCCUUCUGCUAGAAAGGAAAUGCCUUGCGUUUCAGGAUUAUCCAACCGACCGGCACACUCUUGAAGAGCUUCAUUUCUACCCCUAUGAGCACUUCCUUAAUUAAAAGGACAAAGCCGUUGCUCUUGUUCGUUUAUUGGGUGCUAUCGGAUGAUAAAACGUUCUCUUUGCUUCAAAACAACAAGUACUUCCUUUGUCGAACAACCAUCCUUUUUUUAUCUCUCUUUCUAUAGAGACUAUCCGACCUUCACACUCUUGAAGAGCUUCAUUUCUACCCCUAUGAGCACCUCCUUAAUUGAAAGGACAAAACCGUUAGAAUUCUAAAAUAUUCGCUCCAACGAGGAGUCGAACCUAGGACCUCUUUAUUAUGUUGUAGGCUAAAUAGUACUGUAAUGCAUUCAUCUUCUUGACAUUGAAUGCGUUUACUGCGAUGCAUGCAAUAUAUAAUGCUUCCUUCGUUUCAAAAUAUAAGUAUACGAAAGGUUUAGUCUUCUACCACAGUAAAAACAUUUCUAUC
rnacentral:lncRNA from 1 species